rnacentral:rRNA from 1 species
GGUAGGCGAACCGACUUACGUUAAAAGUAGUACCGGAGUGAGUUGUGGGUAGGGGUGGAAAGUUACGUAAUACGAACCUGGAGAUAGCUCGUUCUCUCCGAAAUAUAUUUAGGUUAUAGCCUCAUAUUAGCAUCGUGGAGGUAGAGCACUGUUUGGUAUGAGGGGCCCAUCCCGGGUUACCGAGUUCAGACAAACUCCGAAUGCCACAGAUGUGAUGUAUGGGAGUCAGACAGUGGGUGAUAAGGUCCAUUGUCGAGAGGGAAACAGCCCAGACCACCAGUUAAGGUCCCCAAAUAUAUGUUAAGUGGAAAAGGAUGUGGGGUUGCACAGACAACUAGGAUGUUAGCUAGAAGCAGCUAUUCAUUCAAAGAGUGCGUAAUAGCUCACUGGUCGAGUGACCCUGCGCCGAAAAUGUACCGGGGCUAAAACAAUUUACCGAAGCUGUGGAUACCUUUAUAGGUAUGGUAGGAGAGCGUUCUAUGUGUGGUGAAGGUGUACCGUGAGGAGCGCUGGAACGCACUAGAAGUGACGAAUGCCGGUCGACGCGGCCG